rnacentral:misc_RNA from 1 species
GUGAAUCAUCAAAUUUUUGAACGCAAAUUGCACUCUCUUCGGAGAGUAUGCCUGUUUGAGGGUCAGCCUAAAAAAAAUCGACAUAGUCGCCGUUUUCGCGGUGACAUUAGUCGGAAAUUGGGUCAUCUUAAACCUUUGGGUUUUACACGGCUUAAAAUUUUUUUUACGGAUUCCACGAACGUUUCUAAGAUUUACUUCUUACACACGUUUAAGGUAUCGAUCUUUAUUAGACGUGGCCGUUGAAUAGGAUAUAGUCCA